UGGGAUAUGUCUCAUGUCUGUAUGGAUAUAUCAUGGGAUAUAUCUCAUGUCUGUAUGGAUAUAUCAUGGGAUAUGUCUCAUGUCUGUAUGGAUAUAUCAUGGGAUAUGUCUCAUGUCUGUAUGGAUAUAUCAUAGGAUAUUUGGAUGUCUCAUGUUUGUGAAAUGGCUGCAGUUUGAGCAGACAGGAAAGGGCAGAGUCACAUGGUAUUUACUGAUCAGUGAUUGGGAGAACAUAGGAAGUGACCUCAUUGACUACCUUCUUGCAACCUAUCAGCUACUUUUAUCAGUUAGUUUUAACCCCAGUUUUAGAGCAUUUACUCUCUGUUGUCUGCUGUGUUGUGAAGGCACCAGAUGAACUAAGACCACUGGACCAAAACACACUGAGGCUGGAAUUGAACUUAGAUUGAAUUCCCCCCCGAGGGUCCAAACACGACUGUUUCGUAUGCAAGUGGUCAGGUUGUGUACAGGUCAGUGAGUUUGUGAGUGGGAGAGUGUGAGCAGGAUGAAGUUGUUCCUAUACUCUGAUCUAGGGUCAGUACUAUGUUAUGUCUUUCCCCCCUAAUGAUUAAAGUCAGGAUUUGGAGAGCAUAAGCUGAUCCUAGAUCUGUACCUUAGUGGCAACUUCUACUCAGAGUGUGAGAGUAUGUAGCAUGUACAUAGAUGAUCCGUCAGUCUGUAUAUAGGCAGUGUACAGGUUUGAUACGGCAGCAGACUCAGUCAGGUAACCUUAUUUUGAAAACCAGAGCAAUAUUUCUGUAUUGAUAAUCGGGCCAAGGCUGUAUGAUAAUAUAGUAUGUGUAUCUAUCAGGAGGGAAUUAGAGGUCUGCUAAAAAACACAGAUCAAUGAGUUCCGGAGAGAUUCAUCCCUUUUUCAGUGAUGUAAUAAAGUUAGGAGAGUAAAUGUUUUCUGUUUAGAUUUGAGAGGUUUGAUGGAGUAUAACGCCAUAGCCUCCCUAUCACUGUCUUACUGUGCUUUGGUGACACCUAGUGGUCACACAACAUCGUCACAGUUUCCCCACACAGUUUAACGGGAGUGGAGUGCGUGUGAUGUGACGCGAGUGUGUGAGCUUACAAAGAGGUUCGGUGUGUGUGCAUCACAGAGCUCGUGCAAUGAUGGGUGAAAUAGUUGUGAACACUAAAUAAAAAUCCUUAGUUUGAUGGAGUGUUUUUCUCAUUAAAUACUUUAAAUAUUUUGUCUUCCUUUGAAGCCUUCAUGCAGUAAGUGUGUGUGGUUUAUUACAACCUCCCAGCCUGUCUUUGUGGAGGAGUACAGGACAGGAUCACACUCCUGUACCAAUACUACUGACAGCAUCAUCGUGAAACACAAGGAUUUCCAACAUCACCCAUGGAGUCCAGUGGAGGCUAAUGAGGGGAGGACGGCUCAUAGUAAUGUCUAGAAUGGGAUCAAUGGAAUGGCACCAAACACAUCAAAGACAUGGUUUCUAUGUGUUUGACUCCAUUCCAGCCAUAUUUAUGAGCUGUCCUCCCCUCAGCAGCCUCCACUGAUGGAGUCUUUGUUUGAUGUAAUUCUGCCUGCCAAUGUCGCUGAACAGAAGGACAUGGGGAGGUCACCAAGGGCCUGCUUCAGACUUGAGAUAAAAAAGACUUAACAUGGACUUAAGUCAAUAUAUUGUUUUACUUAAGUGCAUGUUCAAUUAACUUACAUUAUCUUAUAGGGCAUUGUAAAUGAGCCAGGGAUACUUUUUUCAAAUACUAUUUUCAAAUACCCGGGUUAAAUGCAUGGGAGUAUAUUUGACCAUUGUCAAAUACUUUCCAAGUGUAUUUCCAAAUACAUUAAAAUAUUCAACUACUUGUCUUCUCAAAUAAACAAUAUCUUAAUACUUACUUCAAAUGUAUGUGAGAGUAACUGAGAUAUUUGAACUGGUAUUUGAACCCAGGUCUGCAGGUAUCCAUGGUGAUGCUGAACUGUACUAUGUAAUGCCUGUUGGACCAGUUACCCCAUUCGUGUUUGUUACCCCUUGACACUGAUCUAAGGUCAGUUUUGCAGUUUCCCCCGAUGGUUAACGUUUUGGGGCUCAGGAAGCUACGCUUGCUGAUCCUAGAUCUGUGCAUAAGGGGAUCUGCUAGUCAACGCAAUGUGUUACUCUUGACCUUACAGUGAAAAAUAAAACCUGUUCUCUGAAGAAGUCUGAGUAUUGGGACACUUCCCUGG
ensembl:lncRNA